AUACAUUAUGGGACUUGAGCAUCCGCCGAUGUUGGUAUCCGAGGCGGUUCCUGGAACCAAUCCCCCGAGGAUACCAAGGGGCGACCAUAUUAGUAUGCUUACUCUUCCCUGCUUAGUAUUGGCUGCUGGAUCUGGAGGACUGGGCCAAGAGAUAGUCCGCAAACAUUUCUCCAAGGUCUAUGAGGUCUCUCUCUUACCCUCCACAAUCUGGCAUAGCCCCGUGGAUGCGAAAGAGGCCCGACCAAGAGCGGAGUACUUACCCAGCUAAGUUGCACCUUGGGUUCCCGAGCUCUGUCCUCACGCAUGCUCUGUACCAGCGCCCCUGGGGCGCGCAAUGCCCCCUCGCCCCACCCCACCCCGCCCCAAGGCCAAGCCCGGGCCGCAUGCGCAUAUCAGGAGACCCAACCCCCAGGAGGCGGUGGUAAACCCACGGAGGGCGUCUAUCCAGACUCCCUGAAACCUGACCAGACGCCAGAGUCCUAAUGGUGCUGCGUGGUGGGUCACAGCUGUAGCCUUGAGUCUUGAGCCGGGGUCUCAGGAGAUCCAGCGCGGCCUCCGCUAAAGCACACAGCCUCCUCGACAGCAACAGGGACAUGGAGCCUCCGCCCCGGAGCAGCCAGGAUGCCCAUGGCCAUGCUGAUGCCAACGCGGCUGCCCUCAUCGCUGGCUUUCUCAGGCUGUGCAUCAAGGAGCGGGAAGAAGCCCUUGGUCAGUGGAGGGCGGUGCAUUGGCUUCAGCCAAUUCCAGGAAAGGAGCUUUCCCAGGGAGGGGCGAGCGGCAGGACCCGCCUCAGACGCAGUCCCUCCCCGCCUCCUCCCCACAGCCUGCCUUGCUCGACGGCCUCAUUUUCUUUCUGGUUUUCGUCCCUUGCAGAGGUGAAGGCCGCCGAGAUCUCGCUAGCCAGAGAGAGGGGAGAGGAGCAGAAGGCUCAGUCCGAACCUGAGCAGGGAGCAGCCCCGGAAGGGAAAGAGGCGGGAGAUGAAGGAGAAGGAAAAGAAGGCGGAGAUGUUGGCGCGGGACCGCCGGGCCCAAGGAGGGCGAAAGCUGAGAGGCCAAGGCUCAGACCAAGGCUGAGGCCAAGGCGGGCACGGGCGGCGGCGAUGGCGCAGAGCAGGGCGGGGAGGAGGAGGUCCCGCAGGCGGUCGGCGAGGGUCCAGAUGGCCGCAGACGGGCAGCAGCGGGCCCCCCCGCGCCAGGUUCACGCCGAUGCAGGUGCAGCAGCUGGAGCGCCUUUUCCAGCGCACUCCGUACCCCAACCGGUCCAAGCGACAGCAGCUUGCAAGGCGCAUGGGUGUGACUGAGACCAGAGUGCAGGUCAGCAAACCUGAAGAAAAGCAAUCUGGCAGGGCAGCCCAUCUAAAACCUGCUUUGAGACUUGCACACUUUUGUCCUGGACAUUCUCACAUUGGUUUGGUUUAAGAAUAGAAGGGCCAAAUGGUGGAGACAUCAGAGAGCAUUGGGGUUCCGGACCGUGGCCCUCCGUGUUCCUGGCCCCCAAGGUCGCCAUCGGCUAGGGUGACUCUGCAGUGCCAUCCUGGUUCUGGAGCCCCAUUGCAUCUGGGUUCUUCUGGAGCCACUGCUGCUGGGGCCGUCCCUGGGGCCAUACAUGGAGCUGCCCCUGCUGCCUUUCCCUCCUCUGCUCUUGCCUCCUCUGCCCUGGUUUCUUCCACCUUUGCUUCCCUGUAGCUGCCCUCAUGUGGCUCGGCCAGGUGCCCUACCAUCGGUGGUCAUUCUGUAGCCCUUGUUUCCUCGUGAAUGCUCUCUGUGACAGUAUUUUUCAAAGUGCCUUUGAGCCAGAUUCAAAUUCUUCACACCUUACCAACAAGAACAGUUCACCAAAUGCCUGCCAGUGUAGCAGAUAAAAGUAGU